rnacentral:rRNA from 1 species
ACUCCUACGGGAGGCAUCAGUGGGGAAUCUUGCGCAAUGGGCGAAAGCCUGACGCAGCAACGCCGCGUGCGGGAUGACGGCCUUCGUGGUUGUAAACCGCUUUCAGCAGGGACGAAAAUGACGGUACCUGCAGAAGAAGUCCCGGCUAACUACGUGCCAGCAGCCGCGGUAAUACGUAGGGGACAAGCGUUGUCCGGAUUCAUUGGGCGUAAAGAGCUCGUAGGCGGUCUAGUAAGUUGGGUGUGAAAGCUCCGGGCUCAACCCGGAGAGGUCACCCAAAACUGCUAUGACUAGAGUCCAGUAGAGGAGCGUGGAAUUCCUGGUGUAGCGGUGAAAUGCGCAGAUAUCAGGAGGAACACCAGCAGCGAAGGCGGCGCUCUGGGCUGGAACUGACGCUGAGGAGCGAAAGCAUGGGUAGCAAACAGGAUUAGAUACCCUGGUAGCGAG